AUUGAAAGCUGGCGGCAGGCCUAACACAUGCAAGUAGAGCGGAGCGGCGGACUGGUUAAGAAUGCCUAGGAAUCUGCCUGGUAGUUGGGGAUAACGUACGGAACAGGGCGCUACUAACGCAUACUCUCAGAUGAGCCUGGGUCGGAUGAGCUAAUUGGUGGGGUAAAGGCCUCCCAAGGCGACGAUCCGUAACUGGGCUGAGAGGAUAAUCAGUCACACUGGAACUGGUACACGGUCCAGACUCCUACGGGAGGCAGCAGUGGGUAAUAUUUGACAAUUGGCGAAAGCCUGGUCCAGCCAUGCCGAGUGUGUGAAGAAGGUCUUCGGAUUGUAAAGCACUUUAAGUUGGGAGGCGUUACCAACAGAAUAAGCACCGGCUAACUUCGUGCCAGCAGCCGCGGUAAUAC
rnacentral:rRNA from 1 species